UAAUAAACCUAAUAGAAUAAUAAAUCUAAUAAUAAUAGAAUUGCUAAAAAAAACUCUUAAACUUUCUAAUUCUACAAUGACUAUAAUUUCUAAACUUCCAAUACUUUAUCAAUAGGCCUUUACUACACUUUUGAAAAAUAUUGUGUACUUGUUAAAGGAAGUAUCUUUGAGGAAUAUUGGGAUCUUUCCAGUUUAAUAAAUUGUCAUAGUAAUUUUAAAUUUUCUUUUCGUUUUUUUACAAGUGUAGUAAUAUUGCCAUUUUUCAUACCAUAUUAUCUUGAUUUUACAAGAUAACAUUAA
rnacentral:misc_RNA from 1 species